GAGGGCACAGCUCAGUCGCAGAGCGUGUGCUUAGCAUGCCUGAGGUCCCAGGUUCAAUUCCCGGUGCCUCCA
rnacentral:tRNA from 1 species